rnacentral:rRNA from 1 species
UCGAGAAUCAUUCGCAAUGGGCGAAAGCCUGACGAUGCGACGCUGUGUGAGCGAUGAAGGCCUUCGGGUUGUAAAGCUCUUUCGCCUGGGAACAAGGAAUAAUGAUUAAUAAUCAUUAAACUUGAGCGUACCAGGUAAAGAAGCACCGGCUAACUACGUGCCAGCAGCUGCGGUAAUACGUAGGGUGCAAGCAUUAAUCGGAAUUAUUGGGCGUAAAGGGCGCGUAGGCGGAUAAUCAAGUCUUGUGUGAAAUUUCGGGGCUCAACCUCGAAGCGGCACAGGAAACUAGUUAUCUAGAGGGUAGACGGAGAGAAUGGAAGUCCACAAGUAGCGGUGAAAUGCGUAGAUAUGUGGAAGAACACCGGUGGCGAAGGCGAUUCUCUAGUUUACUCCUGACGCUGAGGCGCGAAAGCAAGGGGAUCAAACA